UACGGAGGAUGCAAGCGUUAUCCGGAAUGAUUGGGCGUAAAGGGUCCGCAGGUGGCAAUGUGUGUCUGCUGUCAAAGAAUGAGGCUUAACCUCAUCAAGGCAGUGGAAACUACAUAGCUAGAGUACGGUCGGGGUAGAAGGAAUUCCUGGUGUAGCGGUGAAAUGCGUAGAGAUCAGGAAGAACACCGGUGGCGAAAGCGUUCUGCUAGACAUGUACUGACACUGAGGGACGAAAGCUAGGGGAGCGAAUGGG
rnacentral:rRNA from 1 species